rnacentral:rRNA from 1 species
CAUAAGAGGUCCCGCCUGCCCUGUGACCAUAGGUUUAACGGCCGCGGUAUUUUGACCGUGCAAAGGUAGCGCAAUCACUUGUCUUUUAAAUGAAGACCUGUAUGAAUGGCACGACGAGGGCUUAACUGUCUCCUUUUUCCAGUCAAUGAAAUUGAUCUCCCCGUGCAGAAGCGGGGAUAACAUCAUAAGACGAGAAGACCCUGUGGAGCUUUAGACACUAAGCCAGACCAUGUCAAAUACCCCCCUCAAGGGAUUGAACCAGUUGGACCCUGUCCUGAUGUCUUUGGUUGGGGCGACCCCGGGGAAACAAAAAACCCCCGCGUGGAAUAGGAGCACCCUACUCCCUAAACUAAGAGCCGCCGCUCUAAUUAACAGAAUUUCUGACCAAUUUCAGAUCCGGCUAACGCCGAUCAACGGACCGAGUUACCCCAGGGAUAACAGCGCAAUCCUCUUCUAGAGCCCAUAUCGACAAGGGGGUUUACGACCUCGAUGUUGGAUCAGGACAUCCUAAUGGUGCAGCCGCUAUUAAGGGUUCGUUUGUUCAACGAUUAAAGUCCU